AUCUUGUGUAUACAUUAGUGAUUACAUUGUCAUGUGAGGACUGUCUUCCUAGUAUGUAUGCAAAGUUGUUAGACAAGCAAAGGAUUCAUCAUGAGAACUUUUCAGAUCACUUCAAAGCCUUAUUUACGAAAGCUAUCUGCACAUAGAUUUAAGUGUUUCAAGUGAGCAAGGAUCAUAUUACUUAUAGCAGCAAACCGAAGUGAGCCGUGUGUUUUUGUUGAAACCAUUCGAUUAAAGGAAAAUGGUAGGUAUUAGAUUUGUACAGCUGCAUAGAUAUCACACUAAAAUCGGCGGUUCGCUCAAGUUUUAGUGAUUAUAUUUUUAGUGAUUAUAUUUUAUAACCUACAUCUAUACAUUUUAAGCCAUACUAAUCUUGCUUUGAUCUUGCGGAUCAUUACAUUCUAUUCUACACAUCUUCCUGGCCCUAGUUAUCACUGCCGUGAAGGCUCAGAAAUUGCUAGAUUGCCACCACCUGAAAAUAUACUUGAAGUAAUUCUGCUUAAUUGUAAGCAACUCAGUUUGUGGGCUUCAGAUCUUCAGAAAGAUGAAUUUUCCUGUAAUCUUGACAUUCAUUGGUGUUAUCUUGGCAUUCAUUUGUGCGGACAUACAAUAAGUAUGGCUAUGCAAGGUAAAAGUUUAAAGAAAGUUUAAAGUCAUAGUUAAUACUGCGUGCUUCUCUAAUAGGCAUCUCAACUUUCUCUUACAUCAUCUUUCAUUUAAAGCAAGAUGCACAAAACAAAGUUAUUCAAAGUCUGCAUGCAGGUUGAUCAAGACACUUUCUUGGUUGAUGGCUAUCAUGCAGAGCCUACUUAUAAUUGCGUCUCACAAGCAUUACUCAGUGGACGUUGUCGUUGCAUGGUACACUGUAAAUUUGGUGGUAUUUUUUAUUGACCAGAAAUUAACAGGUUUGUUUGCUUUUCUUCUUUAAGAUUUUUUUAUUGACCAGAAAUUAACAGGUUUGUUUGCUUUUCUUCUUUAAGAUUUUUUAUCAUGUUGUUUCUCGUAUGAGUCUUCGAAGCAUAUGGUUUUGGUUACCUGCAUAUUGUCAGCCCGAAUGUAGAUAUGCUUUUCUUUGUCCAAUCUAAGAUUGAAUCAGCAAUCACUUUCUCUUUCAUUUUUUUAGUCAGAAAUUGAUUCUCCUCAUAUAAACUGAAUGAUGAGCUCCAAUGAUUCUAGUUUCUUGAAAGUUUUAGAUGAACUAAAAACCUAGGUGCAUCCCCUUGAUGAACUGGAGAUGGAAAUGAUUUAGGCUAUGCUUUCUCUUUCAUAAUGAUGCACAGUUGCUUAUCCUCUUCCUACAGUUGGCGUAGGAAGCAAAGACUUCUGUGAUGCCUCAUUAAGAAAACUAUGUUAUUGUGUGCAGUUUAACAUCUAUAUAUCUCUGUGUGUGCGUGCGUGCGUGCGAGCUUGCGCGCAUGGUUUAAAAAACUAACACAUGUGGCUUUAAAAAUAAAAAUAAAAAUAAUAUAGUUGUUCUUUUUCUUUUUUUGUAGAACUGCCUGAUAGAACUGUCAACAGUGGAUCACUGUUGCCCCUGAACAACAGAGACAAAACCAAGGAGGAGAACAAGCAGCUGCUGAAUGAUACUGCUGAUAGGGUGUAACAAUGAAAUAGGGUAUAACAAUGAACAGGGAUUUUAGGUUUGUUGUCUUUCCUUUUUCUUUUCGGGUUUGGUGUGGUCCCUCGCAUUGCAAUGCUUGAAAUGAAUAAUUGUCAGUUCAACAAUUAUGUGGACUCUCGUGAGAGGUUUGAUGUUUGGUUAAUGUGUUUGUUAUGAUCCCUAUCCCAUUAAAAUUAUGUCUGUAUUUUUCCUUUGAUUGGGGUUAUUGUGGCAUUUUAAGGCGAGUUGUGAUGCUUAUUCAUAAGACAGGUUUGCACGUUCGAAAAAGUUGUGCUCUAUUUGAAUUUCUUUUUGAUGUGGCAUAAGUGGCUUUUUGUGGUAUUGGUUAUUGCAAUAAACAAUGUAUAUCAUUUUGUAAGUGAUGUAUUCAUUGAGUUCUUUGCGCUUGGAAUAGUAAAAAGAAAAAAAAAUACAUGAUUUUGGUAAUUUUAAUGCUAUCUUGUUCAAUAUGUUCAUGCUAUUCUUGAAUGGGUUAUGUACGUGCAUGUGCAUAUUUUGAUAAUUCAAAAAGUUUACAAAAAAGCCCCUUAAAUUUUGCAAAAAGUCCUCAAUAGUUUACAAAAAAACCCCUAAAAGUUUAUAAAAAACACCCUAAAAGUAUUAUACAUAUAUAUAGCUACUAUAGUUAAAUGGGCAAAUGGGUGGCCCGUUUAUUAAAUGGGCGGGUAAAAACCCGACCAUUUAGAAAAUGUUAAAUGGGUCAUAAAUGGGUAAAUGGACAAAACAUGCCCGCCCAUUUAUGGCCCGCCCAUUUAAUACCCAAACCUACCCAUUUAACAUCCCUAAUACGACCCUCAUCAAGUUGAUCUAUUUUGAGGUUGAUCUGACCAUCAUAUUCCAGAGGGAAACAUGCCUUAAUGAAAAUAAACUUAAAAAAAUAGCAAAGGCAUCAUGUGAAGUUUUUGAAUGUCUUAAAACAUACAUUAUAUAGAUAAUAAAUCAAUCAAGUACAAACUCCAGCCAGUUCCUUGAGUGUGUAUAUGCAUAUGCCCCAAUUCAAGUCCGCUUGCACAGACCUCAUAUUACCACUUGGAACAGCAUAUAGUGAAAAGCACAGGACUUGUUAGAUCAGAUGUUCAGCAGUAACUUAAAGCUGAAAAACUCAUCAUGUCAUGAUUAUGACAAAGUGGAAGUUUGGACUAUGGAGACCAUGGUCUCUAAGACACUAAUAAUUCAGAAGACAAAAGCAUCUAAAAGAUCAAAGAAAUUGAACCAGAAAUUACAUAAUGCAAUUAUGUUGAGACCCACACGGUGAAACAACACUAAAUCAUUGAUGGGUCAAAAUUAAAGAACAACAUCCUUAAUAUUACUAGUGACCAAA